GACGGAGGAGGCAAGCGUUAUCCGGAAUUAUUGGGCGUAAAGCGUCCGUAGGUGGCCCCUCAAGUCUGCUGUUAAAGCCCAGGGCUUAACCCUGGAGAAGCAGUGGAAACUGGAGGGCUAGAGUGCGGUAGGGGUAGAGGGAAUUCCCGGUGUAGCGGUGAAAUGCGUAGAGAUCGGGAAGAACACCAGUGGCGAAAGCGCUCUGCUGGACCGCAACUGACACUGAGGGACGAAAGCUAGGGGAGCGAAUGGGAUUAGAUACCCCAGUAGUCCUAGCCGUAAACGAUGGACACUAGGUGUUGCGCGUAUCGACCCGUGCAGUGCCGUAGCCAACGCGUUAAGUGUCCCGCCUGGGGAGU
rnacentral:rRNA from 1 species